rnacentral:rRNA from 1 species
CAGCAGCCGCGGUAAUACGGAGGGUGCAAGCGUUAUCCGGAUUCACUGGGUUUAAAGGGUGCGUAGGUGGGUUUGUAAGUCAGUGGUGAAAUCUCCGUGCUUAACAUGGAAACUGCCAUUGAUACUAUAGGUCUUGAAUUAUCUGGAGGUCAGCGGAAUAUGUCAUGUAGCGGUGAAAUGCUUAGAUAUGACAUAGAACACCAAUUGCGAAGGCAGCUGGCUACAGGUUGAUUGACACUGAGGCACGAAAGCGUGGGGAUCAAACAGGAUUAGAUACCCUGGUAGUCCACGCCCUAAACGG